rnacentral:rRNA from 1 species
GAUGAACGCUGGCGGCGUGCCUAAUACAUGCAAGUCGAGCGAACAGAUAAGGAGCUUGCUCCUUUGAAGUUAGCGGCGGACGGGUGAGUAACACGUGGGUAACCUACCUAUAAGACUGGGAUAACUUCGGGAAACCGGAGCUAAUACCGGAUAACAUUUAGAACCGCAUGGUCCUAAAGUGAAAGAUGGUUUUGCUAUCACUUAUAGAUGGACCCGCGCCGUAUUAGCUAGUUGGUAAGGUAACGGCUUACCAAGGCGACGAUACGUAGCCGACCUGAGAGGGUGAUCGGCCACACUGGAACUGAGACACGGUCCACACUCCUACGGGAGGCAGCAGUAGGGAAUCUUCCGCAAUGGGCGAAAGCCUGACGGAGCAACGCCGCGUGAGUGAUGAAGGGUUUCGGCUCGUAAAACUCUGUUAUUAGGGAAGAACAAAUGUGUAAGUAACUGUGCACAUCUUGACGGUACCUAAUCAGAAAGCCACGGCUAACUACGUGCCAGCAGCCGCGGUAAUACGUAGGUGGCAAGCGUUAUCCGGAAUUAUUGGGCGUAAAGCGCGCGUAGGCGGUUUCUUAAGCCUGAUGUGAAAGCCCAUGGCUCAACCGUGGAGGGUCAUUGGAAACUGGGAAACUUGAGUGCAGAAGAGGAAAGUGGAAUUCCAUGUGUAGCGGUGAAAUGCGCAGAGAUAUGGAGGAACACCAGUGGCGAAGGCGACUUUCUGGUCUGUAACUGACGCUGAUGUGCGAAAGCGUGGGGAUCAAACAGGAUUAGAUACCCUGGUAGUCCACGCCGUAAACGAUGAGUGCUAAGUGUUAGGGGGUUUCCGCCCCUUAGUGCUGCAGCUAACGCAUUAAGCACUCCGCCUGGGGAGUACGACCGCAAGGUUGAAACUCAAAGGAAUUGACGGGGACCCGCACAAGCGGUGGAGCAUGUGGUUUAAUUCGAAGCAACGCGAAGAACCUUACCAAAUCUUGACAUCCUUUGAAAACUCUAGAGAUAGAGCCUUCCCCUUCGGGGGACAAAGUGACAGGUGGUGCAUGGUUGUCGUCAGCUCGUGUCGUGAGAUGUUGGGUUAAGUCCCGCAACGAGCGCAACCCUUAAGCUUAGUUGCCAUCAUUAAGUUGGGCACUCUAGGUUGACUGCCGGUGACAAACCGGAGGAAGGUGGGGAUGACGUCAAAUCAUCAUGCCCCUUAUGAUUUGGGCUACACACGUGCUACAAUGGACAAUACAAAGGGCAGCUAAACCGCGAGGUCAUGCAAAUCCCAUAAAGUUGUUCUCAGUUCGGAUUGUAGUCUGCAGCUCGACUACAUGAAGCUGGAAUCGCUAGUAAUCGUAGAUCAGCAUGCUACGGUGAAUACGUUCCCGGGUCU